UACGGAGGAUCCAAGCGUUAUCCGGAAUCAUUGGGUUUAAAGGGUCCGUAGGCGGUUUAGUAAGUCAGUGGUGAAAGCCCAUCGCUCAACGGUGGAACGGCCAUUGAUGCUGCUGAACUUGAAUUAUUAGGAAGUAACUAGAAUAUGUAGUGUAGCGGUGAAAUGCUUAGAGAUUACAUGGAAUACCAAUUGCGAAGGCAGGUUACUACUAAUGGAUUGACGCUGAUGGACGAAAGCGUGGGUAGCGAACAGG
rnacentral:rRNA from 1 species